rnacentral:tRNA from 1 species
AGCAUGGCAAUAUAUUGGCAACAGCCUGUCAGGCUCAUAACCUGAAGGUCGUAGGUUCAAAUCCUACCCCCGCAACCA